UCUGUACUUGUAUUAUUAGAUCUUAGUGCUGCAUUUGACACUAUUGACCAUAAUAUUCUUUUACAGAGACUUGAGCAUCAAAUUGGCAUUAAAGGAACCGCACUAAGCUGGUUUAAGUCAUAUUUAUCAGAUCGCUCGCAGUUUGUACAUGUUAACAAUGAAUCUUCAAUAAAUACUACAGUUAGUCAUGGAGUUCCACAAGGUUCUGUACUUGGACCAAUACUAUUUACUUUAUAUAUGCUCCCUUUAGGCAACAUUAUUAGGAAUCACUCCAUUAACUUUCACUGUUAUGCAGAUGAUAUGCAGUUAUAUCUAUCAAUCAAACCCAAUGAAAUUAAUCAAUUAUCUAAAUUACAAACAUGUCUUAAUGACAUAAAAUCCUGGAUGACCUGCAAUUUUCUGAUGUUAAACUCAGAAAAAAACGAAAUUCUUGUUCUUGGCCCCAAAAACCUUAGACACUCACUGUCUAAAGAUAUAGUUACUCUAGAUGGCAUUAACUUGGCCUCUAGCACCACUGUCAGGAAUCUUGGAGUUAUCUUUGAUCAGGAUUUGUCAUUUAACUCCCACAUAAAGCAGACAUCUAGGACUGCCUUCUUUCAUUUACGUAAUAUUAGAAAAAUUAGACACAUACUAUCACAGACAGAUGCAGAAAAACUAAUCCAUGCAUUUGUUACUUCAAGGCUGGAUUACUGCAACUCUUUAUUAUCAGGUUGCCCCAAUAAGUCCAUUAAAACGCUCCAAUUAAUUCAGAACGCUGCAGCACGAGUACUGACAGGAACUAGAAAAAGAGAUCACAUCUCUCCUGUACUAGCUUCUCUGCAUUGGCUCCCUGUAAAAUGUAGAAUAGAAUUUAAAAUCCUCCUCCUCACCUAUAAAGCUCUUCAUGGUCAGGCCCCUUCAUAUCUUAAAGAGCUCAUAGUACCCUAUUACCCCACUAGAACACUACGUUCUCUGAAUGCUGGGCUACUUGUGGUUCCUAUAGUCUCUAAAAGUAGAACAGGAGCCAGAGCCUUCAGUUACCAAGCUCCUCUCCUGUGGAACCAGCUUCCAGUUGUGGUUCGGGAGGCAGACACCCUCACCACAUUCAAGAGUAGGCAGACACCCUCACCACAUUCAAGAGUAGGCUUAAGACAUUCCUUUUUGAUAAAGCUUAUAGUUAGGGCUGGAUCAGGUGAGUCCUGAACCAUCCCUUAGUUAUGCUGCUAUAGGCCUAGACUAUCGGGGGAUUUCCCAUGGUGCACUGAGCUCCUCUCUUCCUCUCUCUUUCUGCACUCAUUCAUGUUCCAUUAAUGCAUGUUACUAACUGCACUUCUUCCCCCGGAGUUCUUGUGCUUUCUCGUCUCGCAGGUUCUUAUCGAUCCUGGUGGAGCCUCCUGCCAUGGUCCUGCUAGAUUGCCAUUGCCAAUACUGUUGUUGCUGUGCACCUGUCUGUCUGUCUGUCUCUCUGUCUCUCUCUCUCUCUCUCUCUCUCUCUCUCUCUCUCUCUCACCCCAACUGGUCGAGACAGACGACCACCCACCUAGAGCCGGAGGAUCUGUCCUAGGUUUCUGCCUUUUAACAGGCAGUGUUUCCUUGCCCUUGUCUCCAAGGUCUUGCUCAUGGUGGUACUGUUGGGUCUCUGUAAAUAAUGUCAUAAGGAGUUCGGUCUAGACCUGCUCUAUUUGAAAAGUGUCCUGAGAUAACUUCUGUUAUGAAUUGGCGCUAUACAAAUAAAAACGUUAGCAGCAGCGCGGCCAUUGGAUGUCCUUUGUCUGUCCAAUGGCGUGGGAGAAACUGAUUGUUAAGGUGGAACUGCUUCAAUUGAUUACUUCAUUAAGAGGAAAAUAAUCAAACAUAAAGACUUGUUCCAGCGUUGGUGAGGAUUUGAUGUUGUUGUUGUUGAUUUGUAACACGUAAAUAAAAUGACAUUUCAUUGUUUAGUUGAGGGUGAAAUAAAGUAAAAGUUUAUGUGUUUGAAGAGACAAGCUUUAAGGAUUGAUAAUGAAAAUAAUGUGUUUUUAAAGGUCAAUGCUCGUUCAAUGAAAGCUGCCAAACAACACUCAGUGAUAUUUACUGACUCUGGAACAGCACUCUGAGCAGAUGAAUUAAUGAAUCUUUGAUUCCUGAAUAAAGAACAUUUGAGGAAAAAGGUUAAAAACAACAAACUUUCAGAACAUGUGAUUUAGUUUUAUUAUUCAAAAAGCUUUAAAAGAGAAGUUAAAGUCUGACAUACUGUGAACUACAGUGUUUUCAGUCAGAUAGUCUCCAUUCACAGACUGAGCUGCUCCUCUUAGCUGCUCCUGUUAGCAGUGUAUCAUGCAUGUACAGACAGCUAUCACUGGAUGUUUACUGAAGGAAACUAUCUAUCAGUCCCUCCAGGAUUCCUGAUUUCAUGUUGUGUCUUCAGGUUUUUGCACUGAAAUUGUGGGAGAAAGUGAAAAUUGCGAAAAUAGUUGCAGUUUUAUUAGUUUUUUUUGCAUAAUUUAUUAAAAAUAGGAGGCAACUUGUUCCAGUGAGAAUAAAAUCAACAGUUCGAGGGUAAAUGUGGUCUGCAUCUUCACAACUAGAAACAAGAAAGUGAGUUUUGUGCAGGAAACAAUGUUCGGUACUCAACUCACUGCACAACACAAUGAGAUUAAAUAUUCCUUUAUCUCUCAGACAGAAAUAUAAAUAUAUAUAUAUAUAUAUACAUUCUAUAUAUCUUUAUCUAACUAUUGAAUCCUUUUCUGUUUCUAAGGUAUAAACUGUAAAAGUGAAAAUAAAACCCAUAUCUCACCAUCUGU